CACUUGUGCAUGUGCAACACAUUGGCGGAGGCAAUACGAACUGCAUUUCUCACUAGCUGGACAAGUCAGAAUGGCAAUGCACCUUGGAGAACAAGACUCGAAUUGUGAAAGUCUGGUGGUUUCACAGAACUUUGUUUUAUGUCAAGAUGGGCUGACACCAUGUCACCUGAUGCUGUCACUCUCUGGUAAGCAUGUUAAAAAAAUAAAAACAAUCCAGUUUGAACAGUAA
rnacentral:lncRNA from 1 species